rnacentral:rRNA from 1 species
AUAUUGGAGGGCAAGUCUGGUGCCAGCAGCCGCGGUAAUUCCAGCUCCAAUAGCGUAUAUUAAAGUUGUUGCGGUUAAAAAGCUCGUAGUUGGAUCUCAGUUCGUCUUACCUGGUCCACUUGUCGGUGGUUACUGGGUUUAAGCGAACGAAGUGUUGACCUGGUCGCUCGGCUGGAUGCUCUUAACCGAGUGUCCAGCUAGCCCGGUACGUUUACUUUGAAAAAACUAGAGUGCUCAAAGCAGGCAGUUUCUUGCCCUGAAUAAUCUUGCAUGGAAUAAUGGAAUAGGACCUCGUUUCUAUUUUGUUGGUCUUCGGAAACCGAGGUAAUGAUUAAGAGGGACAGACGGGGGCAUUCGUAUUGCGGCGCUAGAGGUGAAAUUCUUGGACCGUCGCAAGACGAACUACAGCGAAAGCAUUUGCCAAGAAUGUUUUCAUUAAUCAAGAACGAAAGUUAGANGUUCGAAGGCGAUCAGAUACCGCCCUAGUUCUAACCAUAAACGAUGCCAA